UUAUUAUAAAAUAUACAUUUUCAUAUAUGUAUCACUUUAAAAUUCCACAAAACUGAAUCACAGAAUGACCCAACUCUCUCUAAAGAUAUUUGCAUAGGAGUUGUGUGUUGCUAAACACCAUUAAUGCUAGUUCCCUAGGGUUUUUGUUGCUGUUGUUGUAAACAUCCUAUGAUAUUUUAAAUGUCAGGUGUGGUUCAGUCAGCUGCUUGACUGAUUGACAGCUGACAUAUUCUCUACCUUAACGUGGCUGUGUGGAGUAAGAGGCAUCUCAACUCUUAAACACAAAACAAAACAAAACAAAACAAAACAAAACAAAACAAACAAACAAACUUCUCUGGCCCUCCAGGAAUCACAUAACUUCAGCUUCACUAACAAUUGUGAUCAGGAUUGGAACUGACGCCAACAAGGUCUGCUUUGGGAGACCAUGCUCCAGCCGGGACCUCUUCCCACACAAUCUGUCUAAGAUUUGGAAGACUCUAGAUAACAAGGCUAGACAAACCUUGGUGAGCUCAGCAUCUCCUCCUGCUGUGACUCAGAAAAAAAAAAAAAAGUCCAGUGACUGGUGGACGGGGAACCGAUCAUUGGUCUUUGUGUAGGGCUUGAGUCAGGUGGAAUCCGGAGCUGCAUAUGUGGAACUAGGAGUGGUGGAAUCAGACUGAACAUGUGCAUCUGGGCCCCUCUUCUGGCUGCUUAAACAGACUACUCUUUUCAGUUUGC
rnacentral:lncRNA from 1 species